UUCUUUGCUUCCUCCGUUUCAGCUUGACAUCUCCUCAAACGCUACCUGACAGCCUGCCGCCAUCACCCGUGAAUCAGGUUCGUCCCACAUACUAGAGCUGACAAACGCCAUAUUCACGCCAAGGAAUUUUGAAAGCAAAUAUGUCACAUCAAUGAUGAUGAUGACGACGACGAUGGUCAGAAAAUGAUUAAGAAAGAACACCCUGGCAGCCUUUGUUGCUAGAAUCUGCUCAUGGGCAAAUGGCAAAGCUAUUCACAUGGAAGACAUUAAACCAUCAACACCCUAGUGUUCCUGUUUGAUCUGAGCCUGGGGUCACUGUGUCAGGACUGCCGGUGAAGAAGAGAAAGUAACUCACAAAGAAAAUGACACGUUCUCCAGGAUCACACAGGGUAUCCAGUGCACACAACUGAGGAUUCCUCUCCUGCCAGCCCUUACACUGAAUCUGUGAAUGAGGCUGUUCUGAGAUUACCACCAUAUCAAGCUUGGGCAUCCUUUUUUACACUCAGCUCUGUUUCUAGCUCAUUUUGCCUCUCACAGUGCAACUAGAGCAAACUCCGUAUGCUGCUUUCACCAUGCCUUAAGGAAAUCCUCCACAGCCCUGCAUAUCUGCCCACUGAAGUCUACUAAGGUCAGCCACGGUAGGGAAUGAGAUCUGCUUCUUCCUCCACUCAUGUGCACCUUAGCUUUGCAGCCCCCCUCCCCUGCUGCCUUCUUUGGGUGCUCGGUAAAAUGCCGACUCCAGUUCACCAUAAAUUUCCACCCCUUGAUCACAGAAACGUCCCCACUCAUAGACCGAUGCCCUGUUUAUCAUAAGGGCUCACUAAAUAUUUGUUAAAUGAGUGAAUGAAAUUAUUUCACCAAGGAUACACUGAAAGACUUAAAUCUCCUUCCAUGUUUUUCAAAAAUGUUCUUCUUUUUGUUAAUGAGAAACAUCUGAAUAAGGAUUCUUAUGAUUUGUUAUAUUUUAUGUUUUUUUUUAACUUAUGUAUUUAUUUGCUAUGUUGAGGGUUGAACCCAUCGCCUCCAGCUUGUUAGGCAAAUCCUCUUCCGCGGAACAACAUCCCCAUGCCCAAAACUUGCUAUGUUUUAAAGUUGCCAUCUGUCAAGUCAGGGUUUUAAAUGUUUAUGAAGCAAUUGCAUUUAACUCUGCUAUUCAAAGAUAAUAACAGAAUUUAUAGAAAUAUCAUUCUUAGUGUUGGGACACCAACUUAACAUAGGGUGGCAAAUGACUCUUUGCUCUGGCCAGUUGAUGCCUAGCUGCGACAAAAGUAUUAAGGCAUCAGAGGCUCCUCCCGCAUGGGACCCAGAGACUGAGGCUCUGCUAUCUGCCGCAAGCUGUAAGACACUACAUGCUUGUAUUCCCUUCCUUCCUAUCAAGGUACUCACCAUACGCCCAACCUGGCCUUCAAAGAUUCAACCCAGUCCUCCCCUCCCAUGCUUUCAUAGGACUCCCUAGGCACAAAAUUUUUCUCAUUGGUGAAACUUCCCAUAACAAUUUCACAUGUUAAGAUAUGAUUUGUCCUAUGCAUGUUUGGUGUACUGGUCUUCACUGGUUUAUGAGAGAAGGGUCCAUCAUCCAUCUCUGUGAGCUCAGUCUGCCUCCUGCUUUGUAGCACUGAAUGCCCACAGAUGCUCACAACGUACUUUCUUGAAUAAAUAAACAGCUCUGUCAAUGCAGGUAGACAUAACAGAUGGCUGGCGUGUUGGCAUGAGGCAUGAGGCUGCCUGGCCCGUUAGCAAAGCGGGCGAGAGGGGCAGUUCGCAUCUGUUGGAGGGUUAGCAGGGGAAGGCCGCAGAUACGGAGGUAGGUGGGGGCGGGGCUGAGGAAGGCUGCAGAUUUGGAGGCGGGGCUGGGGAUUGGGGUGGUAUGGGUACAUUGCCGGGAUUCAAAGCAACUCUGCCUCUUGUUUCUCAUCCAAGCAUCCAGAGGUGUUUUUUUCCUAUAUCACAGCUCGGUAUUAAUACCAAAGGAGAAAUGAACUUUGAAGUGGUGGCCCCAUUGUUGUAGAUAGCAAUAUUGUUCUACAUACUCAUUUGUGGUUCGUGUUGCUCACAUGAACAUUCGGACGCACAUCUGCCACGGACCCGUAAUGAGUUAUAAACUGAGAAACCUGAGCAUCAUACCUUUUCCUAUUCCUCCUAUUUCCAAGGCUGGAGUUCUCAGGCUAUGUUUUGGACACAGCUGGGCAAUCAAGAAUACUUGAAUAAGAACACUAAUCUAUUUGAUAAGAGUCCCACCCCACGGCCUGACCACCUCCCAAGGGCUCUCCGAAGGGUGACGUUUCAUCUCAUGGAAGGAACUCGAACUUUCUUCAGUCACUGUGAUUCUUCUGGCUGUUGUCCCCUGGUUUGUUAGACUCUUGUCAUCGUGACUUUACGAAGUGACAUGCCACGCCUAGGCAGAAGCUUCCAGUGAGUGCACGGAUUUUUCUUCUAUAAAAAAUGGAAUAUCUCAAACAGCAAGCAGAAGUACUCAGUCCAUGCUUGGAUCGUGACAAGGGCUCAGUGGAAGCCAUCAGGGCAAGUGGACAAUGACCUAGGUUCUAACUUCCUCAUUUGCACUGGCGUGUCUUAACGGGAAAAGCCACAUCCCUGGACUCACUAAGGUGGUCUGUCAGAUGCGAUGACCUGGCUAGGAGCGAGAAACACACGUUUCAACUGAAAUCUGCUCCAGAUUUUAAUCAUGGUCAUGGGCCCUUUUCUGGGGCUAUUUCACUACAGAUAAUUGUUAAAAUUUCUUCCAGUUUAAGGAAGUUUCUGUAUCUAUAGUCAAGGAAAUUCUGGAAUCUUUCUUAUAAGUGAGUAUCAGUAAUGUCACUUGCAGAACAGGGCUGCCAGGAGCCUCAACUUCUUGGCUCAUUGCUGUCUUCACAGGGCUAAGGUUAAUCCUAAGCCUUGGCCAGCCUUCUAGGUAAUGGCGUUUUUAUAGGAUCUUGAAAGAUGACUCUUUAAAAUUAUUUUAUUUCCUCUAACUUAAGGUCACAGUGCUCUUGGCCAGAAGGAAAAAGUCAUUUCCUAAAAAAAGGGAAACCACACUUCCUGGGGAUGUGACAGCCCCUUUGGCUGCCAGCUACUCCUUUGACUGUAAGGGCAGAAAAUAAAAAGCAGGUGCCAUCUGAAGGGAAUGAUCCAGGCUAUGGCUCGCAGUUGGCAGAGCUCAGGCUGAGAAGCAAAGCCCAGGCUGGCUUCCAGCCAGGUGACUCUGUCACUCAUUCCUCUAGGUUUGGAUUUCCCCAUAUGUGCCAAUAAAGGAUCUGCAAACUCCUGU
rnacentral:lncRNA from 1 species